GGGUGGUACAGAGAGUCAGUGCAAUGCAAGUUGCAUUCAAUCAUGAAAGCCAUCCUCAGUUCGGACCGGGGUCUGCAACCCGACCCCGCGAAGCUGGAUUCGCGAGUAAUCGCGCAUCAGCCAUGGCGCGGUGAAUACGUUCCCGGGCCUUGAACACACCGCCCGUCAAGCCAUGAAAGCCGGGGGCGCCUUAAGUCCGUGACCGCGAGUGUCGGCCUAGGGUGAAACCGGUGAUUGGGGCUAAGUCGUAACACGGUAGCCGUACCGGAAGGUGCGGCUGGAACACCUCCUUU
rnacentral:rRNA from 1 species